rnacentral:lncRNA from 10 species
GGAGAACCUGCCACAUAUGAAGCACUGUGUUAGGCACCACUAGAGAAGCACAGAUAAAAUGGAGAAGAUCAGGGAAAGUCUGAAUGAAGGCCAGCAGGCAGUAUCAGCCGAACCAAGAAGGGCCAUAAAGCUGCAGACCAGGAAAUCUGCCCUCUGAGAGCACAGAAUUUAGAAUGGACAGCAAAUUUAGUAAAAGUGUUCCAGCUAGAAGAUUUGGAUGAAAAGUGAUUCCAAAAAAAUGAGGCAAUCUCAUCCCGAAACUAUUUAAAACUACUCUCCUCUCUCUUGAUAAACCGUCAGUAGGAAGUGUGUCGUUUAUUCCCUCACUCCACACUGGAUUCAUAUGGGCUGAUAGCAGCAGGAUUAAAAAUUUUUUUCAUCAUGAGUUAAAUCCCUAAGAUUUAGAGUAUUUUGUUUGUCUGAAUGUCUAAGCGGUACAAACCUUAGCAAUCCAUAUUAAAAUGGAGAAUUCCUUCUUUUGGUAUUCACAAGCAUAACAUACAUAAUCCUUUA